rnacentral:rRNA from 1 species
UACGGGGGGGGGCAAGCGUUGUUCGGAAUUACUGGGCGUAAAGGGCGCGUAGGCGGUGCUCUAAGUCGGAUGUGAAAACUCUGGGCUCAACCCAGAGCCUGCAUCCGAAACUGGAGUGCUAGAGUUCUGGAGGGGGUAGCGGGAAUUCCUGGUGUAGCGGUGAAAUGCGUAGAUAUCAGGAGGAACACCGGUGGCGAAGGCGGCUACCUGGACAGAAACUGACGCUGAGGCGCGAAAGCUAGGGGGAGCAAACAGG